rnacentral:rRNA from 1 species
UUAGUGGCGGACGGGUGAGUAACGCGUGGAUAACCUGCCGUAUACAGGGGGAUAACACUUAGAAAUAGGUGCUAAUACCGCAUAAGCGCACGGUUCCGCAUGGAACAGUGUGAAAAACUCAGGUGGUAUACGAUGGAUCCGCGUCUGAUUAGCCAGUUGGUGGGGUAACGGCCCACCAAAGCGACGAUCAGUAGCCGGCCUGAGAGGGUGAACGGCCACAUUGGGACUGAGACACGGCCCAAACUCCUACGGAAGGCAGCAG